rnacentral:misc_RNA from 1 species
UUCAGAUCUCCUACUUGCUCUCUCACAAUAGAAGCAUCAAACUACUGCACUCAAAAAGGGCGAAAGAUGAUGAAGCGCGCUCGCAGCGCCAAUAUUCCAGGUGCGAUUCUGCACUCUUUGGCAGAGCUGCAGGAUGGCCUGAACGCGAUGAUCGACCCUUCCUGGCGCGCUGCUCGCUCGCUGGACAAUUGGGCUCUAGCCAUCACGAUGGAGUCCACGGAGCUGCUGGACUCCUAUCCGUGGAAGUGGUGGAAGAACGUCAACGCUACGCCUGAUUUGGCCAACGUUAGGAUUGAACUGGUCGACAUCUUUCACUUCUCCCUUUCCGGUGCUAUGCAAAUGCGCUCUACCCCGGACGAUGAGAUUCCCGCCGCUUUUCUCAAGCCUCUGAAGGAGGUCAUGACAACUUUUCUGCCGGCGAAGGAGUGCACGAGCGACCCGUACGGCUUUGUGUUCUUUCCCCUCACUGAUACGCAGAACGCCAUUGCGAGCUUUCGUAACGUCAUUCAGCUCGCAAACGCCUAUCGCUUCGAUGUCAUCAUAGAGAGCAUCAUAUACGCCGCUGAGGACCUGGGGUUCAACUUGGUGGCGUACUAUAUUGCAAAACACACUCUGAACUGCAUUCGCCAGCUGAGUGGCUACAAAGACGGCUCUUACGUGAAGGUGAACAAUGGUGUUGAGGACAAUGCACUUCUGCACGGCUGCAUCAAAGACGUCUCCCUCGAGGAAGUUCUCGACGCCGACAAGUAUGUCCAGGCGUGGAACAGCAUCAUGGCUAACGUUUACGAGGCUUUUCAGGUUAAGGAGUCUGACCGAAAGGAUGCGGAGCGCUGGUUUGCCCUCGCGAAGGAAAAUCGGCUGGCAAUCAAGGCAUAAAACUAUUCUUCCCAAAUCCUCUCAUGUGAAAGGAUCGACUUUUUUUUCUGUUUGACUACCAAGCUUCAGACAGUCAAUUUGUAGACAUGCGUUUUCUACCGACAUUCCUUUUGCGCCUUUAGGGGGGGAGCUCAUCGAGGAGGUAAGGGCUUCUUUUUUUUCUCCUCUCUUUUUUCGUCUCUUCGAUGUCUUGUUUUCGCCAUGAGCAUGGCCAUCAUCGAGGAUCUUUCUCCUGAGAGGGUCAGAGGAUCUCAUCGAUAUGGAGUGAAGAUGCUUACCGCUUUUCGUCUCUGUUUCACUCAUCCAUGCCCAUUUUCUUUGCUAUAUAUGUAUAUAUAUAUAUAUAUAUAUAUACAUAUAUAUAUAUAUAUGUAUAUAUAUGUAUGUACAUAUAUAAAGACAUAGAAUUUUAUAAAAGAAGGAGGGAAGCGAAAAGAAAAAUGAGCGAGGUAGUCGAACGACCGUGCCCUUCGCAACAACAACAGAAAAAAAACCAUGAAACUCAACACUGUGAAAAGGAGAGAUCUGAUUUUUUCGUUUUUUUUUUCGCACAAUCUUCACCCACAUGCUUGGCACGCUGGAAGGGUGUUUUCAAAACGUGUGAUUCGGUUUGGGGGAUUCUGCCUCAACGGCGUGAUCUCCCUGUCUGCGGUCACAACAUCGUGAGGGCAAACCCAACCGGAUGUUUUUCCCUCUUUUAACUACGCUAUUUCUCGCCCAAUACCUGUGCACCAGCCGAUUGCAGCUCAGACCUCACACCGGGUGUUUCAAACUCAGCAGCCCGUUGCGAGCUAACUGGAUAUCUAACAGAAAUACCUUGCAGCUGGAUUGAUUCUCAGUUUUUUCCUCACAGGAGCAGAUUCAGUGGGAAUACCUUGAAGGCUUGUUAGCUCUCCGUGCUCGGCAAACUCACAGAGUGUGGGUGAUGCUUCAAACAAC